rnacentral:rRNA from 1 species
CGAAACUUUCUUACACCGAAUGCUUGCAUUCACCGUAAGAAGUUGAGUGGCGGACGGGUGAGUAACACGUGGGUAACCUGCCUAAAAGAAGGGGAUAACACUUGGAAACAGGUGCUAAUACCGUAUAUCUCUAAGGAUCGCAUGAUUCUUAGAUGAAAGAUGGUUCUGCUAUCGCUUUUAGAUGGACCCGCGGCGUAUUAACUAGUUGGUGGGGUAACGGCCUACCAAGGUGAUGAUACGUAGCCGAACUGAGAGGUUGAUCGGCCACAUUGGGACUGAGACACGGCCCAAACUCCUACGGGAGGCAGCAGUAGGGAAUCUUCCACAAUGGACGCAAGUCUGAUGGAGCAACGCCGCGUGAGUGAAGAAGGUCUUCGGAUCGUAAAACUCUGUUGUUAGAGAAGAACACGAGUGAGAGUAACUGUUCAUUCGAUGACGGUAUCUAACCAGCAAGUCACGGCUAACUACGUGCCAGCAGCCGCGGUAAUACGUAGGUGGCAAGCGUUGUCCGGAUUUAUUGGGCGUAAAGGGAACGCAGGCGGUCUUUUAAGUCUGAUGUGAAAGCCUUCGGCUUAACCGGAGUAGUGCAUUGGAAACUGGAAGACUUGAGUGCAGAAGAGGAGAGUGGAACUCCAUGUGUAGCGGUGAAAUGCGUAGAUAUAUGGAAGAACACCAGUGGCGAAAGCGGCUCUCUGGUCUGUAACUGACGCUGAGGUUCGAAAGCGUGGGUAGCAAACAGGAUUAGAUACCCUGGUAGUCCACGCCGUAAACGAUGAAUGCUAGGUGUUGGAGGGUUUCCGCCCUUCAGUGCCGCAGCUAACGCAAUAAGCAUUCCGCCUGGGGAGUACGACCGCAAGGUUGAAACUCAAAGGAAUUGACGGGGGCCCGCACAAGCGGUGGAGCAUGUGGUUUAAUUCGAAGCAACGCGAAGAACCUUACC